rnacentral:lncRNA from 1 species
GCACGGCUUGUCUAUUGGAUCAAGUUAUUAUAUUCUAUCCCUUUUAAAAGAGUUUCAUCAUCAAAACUUAACAUAUCUUUAUUCUUAAAUGAUUAAAGAUACUUAGUCUUCAAAUCAUUUUUACCAUACUUUCACUAUGCAACCCUGAUCUAAAUCCAUGCUUAAUUAGAACUCAAUACUCUAGGCCAUUUUUUAUUAACACUAUAAAUCAUAAAUCUCAGCCUAAUUUUCUAUCUACGAUCAAACUUGUCUUUGAUACCAC